UAGUCUUAGCAAAAGUCUUACUUUUAUAUACGUAUACCUAUAUCUAAAACAAUGUACAUAUAAUAAAUAUAUAUAUAUAUAUCCGCGUCUAAAUCACCAGAUGAAUUAACUCGAGACCGUAAAUGAAAUUAAUUCCAACGAACAUCCGCGUUGGAGUAAUUUCGAUAAAAAAAUAUAUAACAGAAUUUAAUUAAAAUAAAUAAAAAUUAUCAUGGAAAUAAUCAUUAUUAUAAAUAUUAAUUAAAAUUAACGCGAGCUAUAUCGGUCGUGUAUAUUUUUUAUCUCACAUAGAAAUGUUGGUUUUUCGUUGAUCUCCGUUGAUAAAAAGAUAAUAAUUGAAAGAACUUUGAAAGUACGGAUUUUUAUAUACGUAAAAAAGAUGGGAAUGCAUAGAACGCGAUAGGAAUAUACACGUAAGUUUCGUUUAUUUUGCGAAAAAUAGAAAAGGGAGAGGCUGGCUCGUUAUAUCUUACCCUCUUACCGCAUUACGUCUUCCAUGUCGCUUUUCAGGAAACCAACCCCUCUCGAUAAUUUUCCUACUUAUGGGAUUAAUCUCUAUACGAUGCAGUGAGAUGGGUUUUCGAUAGAUCGAUACGGCAGCUGACAUGGGCACGCGCUUCUAAGCCGCUUAUACCGAUACCUCCGACGGACACAGAUUUUUGCGCUUUUUUGGAAAAUCCUCUCGUCCGUCUAAUCCGACAGGCACAGAAAUUGCUAAUAAUUUCGCAGGAAUAAGGCGAUAAUUGAUUUAAAAAAUAUGGAUGCCAUCAACUUCCUUUUAUAUUUCGAAGCUACAACGCAAUCCUUUGCGACAUGCUAAAAGAACAUCGAACGCAAAUCCGAUUAUUUUUUUUCCCCUCUUAUCAUCGGAAUUUCCUCGAAAAUCGAAUUUACGUUAAAAUUAACGCCAAGUUGUUUCUUACUUAAUCUUUGAUGAAAAAAAAGGACUAUUAGAAAAUAAAUUCCAUGGUAGAAUUUUUACGUACGAGUAAAAGAGAAUGAGAAAAUGUGAAACGCGAUAGACGUAGGUUUCGUUUACUUUGCGAUAGAUAUAGAAUAUUCCAUAUUCCGAUCGAGUAUUCUAUGUAUACGAAUCAUCUAAACUAACUUAAUUUCGAAGUGUAGAAAUAUAACUCGUAGUUCCUUUACGAUGGGAGUUCGAAACGAGUCGUGGAAUAAACGAACGAAAAGGCUGCGGCGUAUGUACGCAAACGUUAUAAUUCUGAAUUAUGGUGCAUAUUUUACGAGAGAUUACUAGUGGUUUACAAAUGAGUCUCAUAUAUCGACGGAUUAUAGCCAGCUUCAUGUACAAUCGAAAGAAAACUACGGGACCUGAGUAAACAAGGUAUACCUUAUGACGAUGAUGGUCCGUUGGGAAGAACGUUUGGUAAGACUAAUCGUAAUAACAACACAUUCGCCUAUCCGUAUGUACAUAUGGACAAAAAUGUGUCAGCUGGAGGUCGUCUCAUCUUAUACUAUUAUUAUUUGUUAUUGAAAUAUCCUUUCUUCCUCGUAUUCUCGUAUGUUUUGUUUAUCGUUAAUCUCUGUUAGAACACGAUUAAACCUACAUCGACACGUUGGACGAGUACGUCGUAAUGAUAAUCUAUAGACGGAUACUUGUGCUCAUAAAUCAACUUAACAAGUUCACGAUCUUCAAAGUUUAUCUCAGACGUCACAUUCUUCCUUGGAUCUGAGAAAGAAGCCUACGUUUUAACAUUGUGCCAUAAAUAAAAACGGAUCGACGGACCUUUUAUAAGAGAACGCUCGUGUCGUUGAUGGAUUAUUAUUUAAAUAAUAAUCCAUUCAGAAAUAAUAUACUACGUCGGAAAUAAGUUUUAUGUCGACCUUGUAGCUCCGAAUGAAGCGGCAUCGUUAAUGAAGAAUUUGCAUAACGUUAUGGGGAGUCCCUUCGGCGGUGAAUUAAUGUGCGCACCUUCGACUUUAAUGGAGGGACAAUAGUGAAACCAAUCGUACUACUAAAUCAGCUCGGGAAGUUCGCUAUCACGUAAGAGAUGUAAAAUUGAAAUAUGAAUUAUUCCUCGUGAUGAAGGUGGCGAGAGACGAUUAGUCCCUUGCGAGAUAGUACUCACGUCCGGCUACUCCUUUGCCUAGUUUCUGACGUCAGAAACAACGUCAUUGAUAUUUCAUUAUCAAUGAAAUAACGUUCUUAUCAAAACAAAUCGCCCAAAGGAUUAUCCUUUUAAACGGAAAUUCUAAUUUUUAAUUAAUAGAAACGUGAUCGCAGAUACGUAAUUUUAAUCGAAUUUAAUUAUCUAAUCACAUAAACGCAAACGUCGUAAGGUAUUCUACGUUAACUGUGAAUUUAUGUAAAGUGGAAAAGUUUAUUUCAUGCUUCUGUAUAUAUCGUAACGUGUAUAUUUUACUAGAACGUCUGUAGAUCUUCUAUAAAUAUACAGGAUGAGGUAAGCCGUUUAAUUAUAACACGAAGAUCCAUCAGACAUUGCCUGCUUAAACUUGUAAAUGUUUCAACAUAUCUAAAUAAAACGA